UCGAACGAGCUUCCGUUGAAUGACGUGCUUGCACUGAUUUUAACAAUGACCCGUUUAGCGAACUGGUGAGUAACACGUGGGAAAUCUGCCCAGCAUCAGGGGAUAACACUUGGAAACAGGUGCUAAUACCGUAUAACAACAAAAUCCGCAUGGAUUUUAUUUGAAAGGUGGCUUCGGCUAUCACUUCUGGAUGAUCCCGCGGCGUAUUAGUUAGUUGGUGAGGUAAAGGCCCACCAAGACGAUGAUACGUAGCCGACCUGAGAGGGUAAUCGGCCACAUUGGGACUGAGACACGGCCCAAACUCCUACGGGAGGCAGCAGUAGGGAAUCUUCCACAAUGGACGAAAGUCUGAUGGAGCAAUGCCGCGUGAGUGAAGAAGGGUUUCGGCUCGUAAAACUCUGUUGUUAAAGAAGAACACCUUUGAGAGUAACUGUUCAAGGGUUGACGGUAUUUAACCAGAAAGCCACGGCUAACUACGUGCCAGCAGCCGCGGUAAUACGUAGGUGGCAAGCGUUGUCCGGAUUUAUUGGGCGUAAAGCGAGCGUAGGCGGUUUUUUAAGUCUGAUGUGAAAGCCUUCGGCUUAACCGGAGAAGUGCGUCGGAAACUGGGAGGCUUGAGUGCAGAAGAGGACAGUGGAACUCCAUGUGUAGCGGUGGAAUGCGUAGAUAUAUGGAAGAACACCAGUGGCGAAGGCGGCUGUCUAGUCUGUAACUGACGCUGAGGCUCGAAAGCAUGGGUAGCGAACAGGAUUAGAUACCCUGGUAGUCCAUGCCGUAAACGAUGAGUGCUAAGUGUUGGAGGG
rnacentral:rRNA from 1 species